GGGGAGGACAGUAGGUCCCCCCCCCUUAUUGUUUUAUUAGGGCCCCCACCCCUGCGCGGUGGGUGGGGGCCCUAGUAAAACAAUAAGGGGGGGGACCUACUGUCCUCCCCCCCUGGCCCCCA